UCUUAUGGAUGAGAAAGAAAGUGAUUUCUUGAGGUAGAAUUUACUUCUAAUGAAGAUGCUGUGAA
rnacentral:pre_miRNA from 1 species